GCCCAGGAGCAAUCAUCUCCUGCUCCAAACAGCCCCGACGUGCUGCUGAGUGUUCUACCAUCCAGGAAUUGUGUGGGUUUUUGUUUCGACUCGCUUCCAAAAUAUAGUUUUGAUUCCUAUUUAUUCUGUCCCUUUUGGAUGACUGUCCUGAAAUUGAACAGUGAGUUGGAGAAUGCCGCUUCUUUCACUCUGAUUCAAUCUUGAACGGGUGCUGAUGCAGAUCAACUGAGGUAUGGAAAUCACUGCCGCAUUUUGCAGCAGUUGAUGCAUCUUGCAUCUUGCAUGUUCUGCCCACUCCGAGCCGAUCAUCCUGCAUGCACUGGUCGAAGCUGGAGUUCGGUUCAGAAGUUGGAGGUCGUGUAACUCGAUUGGUGCUCCCCCAGUGCAGCUCAUAAAAAUUUCUCUGUUUAGAUAUGCAGUGUAGAGCAUAGUUGACCGGGGAUGCUCAAGUGUAGUUUGUCUCUUUUUUCUUGAAGUAUUGUGUAGUUUGUCACUUGUGCCGUGCAGGUUUCCUUUGUCUAUGUGGAUCACUUUGUGAAAAAAUUUGUACCAAGGAGUUCACGUUUUAUUGUUUUUGGAGGAGUUGUUUUUGCAAUAUUGCAUGGACUAGUUCAUAAUCUGUUAAAAAACGAUGCCCUUCACACAGAAAACCUUGUCGGUGCACUUUGCAAAACAAAAAGGAGUUCACUAUGUAAAAAAACUUUGCAAAACAAAGGAGUUCACUAUGUAAAAAAACUUUGCAAAAACAAAGGAGUUCACUAUGUAAAAAAUUGUAUAGAGGAGUUCACUUUUUAUUAUUUUUGGAGGAAUUGUUUUUUCUGAAUUUGUAAGGACAUGGCGUAUAAUUUGUUAAAAUCGAUGCAACUCACUAAGAAAACCUUUG
rnacentral:lncRNA from 1 species